rnacentral:lncRNA from 1 species
UGAGUAGGGGACCACAGGCACUUGCCACCAUGCCCAGGUUAGACCAAGAGGACUCAAAGAAGAGGAAGAAAUCCUUGUCUUCAACAGGUCUGGUCAGCUCUGAAGAUUCCCUGAAAUGUGACAAGAGGUUUAGAAGAAAGAAGAGAAGGACUACCAGAAGAGAUGAGAGAGCCUUAGCAGCAUCCAGAGAGGAGAAGAGGGCAUGUCAUGGAAAGCUUUGAUGGAAGAUUUUUUGAGGAUGAGACCAAGGACAUGUUACAAUGUUUUGGAUCACAUCAGCAGAGGAAUCAAAGAUGACCCUGAAUUUUUGAGUUGAGGGGUCUCAUUGGAUUGUAUGGCCAAUAGCAAGGAUAGAGAAUGAAUAAAGAGGAGCAUUCCAUUUAGAUCGCUUUCAAAAUAGGAUGUACUCC